AGCGAACGCUGGCGGCAGGCCUAAUACAUGCAAGUCGAACGGCUCUUCGGAGCAGUGGCGGACGGGUGAGUAACACGUGGGAACGUGCCCUUUGGUACGGAACAACUGAGGGAAACUUCAGCUAAUACCGUAUGUGCACCCAUUCUUAGCGGGAUGGGUGGGAAAGAUUUAUAGCCAUUGGAGCGGCCCGCGUUGGAUUAGCUGGUUGGUGGGGUAAAGGGCCACCAAGGCUACGAUCCAUAGCUGGUCUGAGAGGAUGAUCAGCCACACUGGGACUGAGACACGGCCCAGACUCCUACGGGAGGCGGCAGUAGGGAAUCUUGCGCAAUGGGCGAAAGCCUGACGCAGCCAUGCCGCGUGAAUGAUGAAGGUCUUAGGAUUGUAAAAUUCUUUCACCGGGGAAGAUAAUGACGGUACCCGGAGAAGAAGCCCCGGCUAACUUCGUGCCAGCCGCCGCAGUAA
rnacentral:rRNA from 1 species